CCUACGGGGGACAGCAGUGGGGAAUAUUGCACAAUGGUGGAAACCCUGAUGCAGCGACGCCGCGUGAGUGAAGAAGUAAUUCGUUGUGUAAAGCUCUAUCAGCAGGGAGGAAAAUGACGGUACCUGAGUAAGAAGCCCCGGCUAACUACGUUCCAGCAGCCGCGGUAAUACGUAGGGGGCAAGCGUGAUCCGGAUUUACUGGGUGUAAAGGGAGCGUAGACGGCAGUGCAAGUCUGGAGUGAACGGCGGUGGCUCAACCCCCGGACUGCUCUGGAAACUGUACGGCUGGAGUGCAGGAGAGGUAAGUGGAAUUUGUAGUGUAGGAGUGAAAUCCGUAGAUAUUAGAAGGAACACCAAUAGCGUAGGCAGGUUACUGGGACGGUUCUGACACUAAGGCACGAAGGCGUAGGGAGCAAACGGGAUUAGAUACCCGGGUAGUC
rnacentral:rRNA from 1 species